CUGAAGCUUCUUCGGCUGCAGGUUGGUGGACGUUCUGAUUCAGCUGUAUCGCCUCGAAAAUUUGGAUUCUGAAGAACUGGCCGGACAAAGGAUGCUCAAGGCCACCAACAAAAUGGAAAUGAAAGAGAUUGCUAAAUACAGGAAAAUGGACUCAACCAGCCAACCUUUAUUUGUUACUGGCAUAAAUGGCAGUCCUUUGAAAAAAUUCACCAUUCCCAAGAUCAGGAGGACAGCUGGGAAAGUUUACUUGUCACCCUGUUACACCGAUACUAG
rnacentral:lncRNA from 1 species